rnacentral:rRNA from 1 species
AUUGAACGCUGGCGGCAUGCCUUACACAUGCAAGUCGAACGGCAGCAUGAUCUAGCUUGCUAGAUUGAUGGCGAGUGGCGAACGGGUGAGUAAUACAUCGGAACGUGCCCUGUAGUGGGGGAUAACAAGUCGAAAGAUUAGCUAAUACCGCAUACGACCUGAGGGUGAAAGUGGGGGACCGCAAGGCCUCAUGCUAUAGGAGCGGCCGAUGUUUGAUUAGCUAGUUGGUGAGGUAAAGGCUCACCAAGGGGACGAUCAGUAGCUGGUCUGGUGGGACGAUCAGCCGCAGUGGGACGGAGACACGACCCAGACGCGUACGGGAGGUAGCAGUGGAGAAUUUUGAACAGUGGUGGCAACCCUGGUCCAGCAAUGCCGCGUGUGAGAAGAAGGCCUUCGGGUUGGAAAGCACUUUUGUCCGGAAAGAAAUCGGACUUACUAAUAUUAGGUGUGGAUGACGGUACCGGAAGAAUAAGGACCGGCUAACUACGUGCCAGCCGCCGCCGUAACAC